rfam:Pteropus alecto contig165767, whole genome shotgun sequence.
GUCUACAGCCAUGCCACCCUGAACAAGCCCAAUCCCAUCUGAUCUUGGAAGCUAAGCAGGGUUCAGCCUGGUUAGUACUUGGAUGGAAGACCACCUAAGAAGACCAGGUGCUGUAGGUG